rnacentral:tRNA from 1 species
GUCGGCGUGAUGGAAUUGGCAGACGUGAUGGACUCAAAAUCCAUUCUCAGCGAUGGGGUGCGGGUUCAAGUCCCGCCGCCGGCA